AUUUGCUCCUGUUGUACACUCUGUGGUAACUUGACUGAUGGCCAUCAAGCUUUUGAUCAGAAGAACUGACAUCCGUUGUUGCCCUUGCAAAGGGUGGAAGAAUGUUGGUGUUAUCUGUGACAAAAUAGAUGAACUGGAUAAAACACAGAAGAAGCAGCAACAAUUUUGGAGGAGCAGGGACACUACAGUGGACAUCCAUACAAAAAGUUACCAUUAGUUUAACUUGGGUUGUGUAUGUAUUCUGGUAGCUAGUAAAAGAGGGAAACUUAUAUUAAAGACACCUAUUGACGGCAGUAGACGUCCAAAUCCGUUUCAUCUGGGAGGGACUGGAAGAGAUCAUCCGGCGGAUUAAUGGCAGCCAAAGAGUUCAGGGAUGUGAAUUCACAA